UAGUCCACGCCGUAAACGAUGAACACUAGGUGUGGCGGAUUUAUUCACGUCCGCUGUGCCGUAGCUAACGCAUUAAGUGUUCCGCCUGGGGAGUACGGCCGCAAGGCUAAAACUCAAAGGAAUUGACGGGGCCCCGCACAAGCGGCGGAGCAUGCGGCUUAAUUCGAUGCAACCCGAAGAACCUUACCUGGGUCUGACAUCAUGGGUCUAGCUGUGGAAACACAGUGUGCUUAGGCGCCCAUGACAGGUGGUGCAUGGCUGUCGUCAGCUCGUGUCGUGAGAUGUUGGGUUAAGUCCCGCAACGAGCGCAACCCUUGUCCUAUGUUGCCAGCACGUAAUGGUGGGGACUCAUGGGAGACUGCCGGGGACAACUCGGGAGGAAGGGCGAGGGGACGAUGUCAAGUCAUCAUGCCCCUUAUAUCCAGGGGCUGCACGCAUGCUACAAUGGGGCGGUACAA
rnacentral:rRNA from 1 species